rnacentral:rRNA from 1 species
UACGUAGGGGGCAAGCGUUGUCCGGAUUUAUUGGGCGUAAAGAGCGUGUAGGCGGUUCGGUAAGUCUGCCGUGAAAACCUGGGGCUCAACCCUGACAUUGCAUUCGAUACGGGCAGGCUUGAGUUCGGUAGGGGAGAUCGGAAUUCCUGGUUGUAGCGGUGAAAUGCGCAGAUAUCAGGAGGAACACCGGUGGCGAAGGCGGAUCUCUGGGCCUUACCUGACGCUGAGGCGCGAAAGCUAGGGGAGCGAACAGG